rnacentral:rRNA from 1 species
GAUGAACGCUGGCGGCGUGCCUAAUACAUGCAAGUCGAGCGAACGGACGAGAUGCUUGCUUCUCUGAUGUUAGCGGCGGACGGGAGAGUAACAUGUGGAUAACCCACCUAUAAGACUGGGAUAACUUCGUGAAACCGGAGCUAAUACCGGAUAAUUUUUUGAACCUCAUGGUUCGAAAGUAAAAGCCGGUCUUGCUGUCCCUUAUAGAUGGCUCCGCGCUGCUUUGGCAAGUUGGUACGGUAACGGCUUACCAAGGCAACGAUGCAUAGCCGACCUGCGAGGGUGAUCCGCCACACUGGGAGUGAGACGCGGUCCAGACUACUAGGGGAGGCCGCGAUAGCGACUCGUGCGAGAUGGGCGGAAGCCUGACGGAGCAGCGCCAGGUGGAUGAAGAAGGUCCUCGGGUCGGAAAACUCUCUUAUUGGUGAAAAACGUAUGUAGCAGUAACGGUGCACAUCGUGACGGUACCUAAUGAAGAAGCACCGGCUAACUACGUG